GAUGAACGCUGGCGGCGUGCCUAAUACAUGCAAGUCGAGCGAACGGACGAGAAGCUUGCUUCUCUGAUGUUAGCGGCGGACGGGUGAGUAACACGUGGAUAACCUACCUAUAAGACUGGGAUAACUUCGGGAAACCGGAGCUAAUACCGGAUAAUAUUUUGAACCGCAUGGUUCAAAAGUGAAAGACGGUCUUGCUGUCACUUAUAGAUGGAUCCGCGCUGCAUUAGCUAGUUGGUAAGGUAACGGCUUACCAAGGCAACGAUGCAUAGCCGACCUGAGAGGGUGAUCGGCCACACUGGAACUGAGACACGGUCCAGACUCCUACGGGAGGCAGCAGUAGGGAAUCUUCCGCAAUGGGCGAAAGCCUGACGGAGCAACGCCGCGUGAGUGAUGAAGGUCUUCGGAUCGUAAAACUCUGUUAUUAGGGAAGAACAUAUGUGUAAGUAACUGUGCACAUCUUGACGGUACCUAAUCAGAAAGCCACGGCUAACUACGUGCCAGCAGCCGCGGUAAUACGUAGGUGGCAAGCGUUAUCCGGAAUUAUUGGGCGUAAAGCGCGCGUAGGCGGUUUUUUAAGUCUGAUGUGAAAGCCCACGGCUCAACCGUGGAGGGUCAUUGGAAACUGGAAAACUUGAGUGCAGAAGAGGAAAGUGGAAUUCCAUGUGUAGCGGUGAAAUGCGCAGAGAUAUGGAGGAACACCAGUGGCGAAGGCGACUUUCUGGUCUGUAACUGACGCUGAUGUGCGAAAGCGUGGGGAUCAAACAGGAUUAGAUACCCUGGUAGUCCACGCCGUAAACGAUGAGUGCUAAGUGUUAG
rnacentral:rRNA from 1 species